rnacentral:rRNA from 1 species
GAUCAUGGCUCAGGAUGAACGCUAGCGACAGGCUUAACACAUGCAAGUCGAGGGGCAGCGAGGGAGUGGCAACACUUCUGUCGGCGACCGGCGCACGGGUGAGUAACGCGUAUGCAACCUGCCCUUCACAGGGGGGAUAACCGGGAGAAAUUCCGACUAAUACCGCAUACGUCCUUUGGGGGCAUCCCCGGGGGAUGAAAGAAUUAUCGGUGAAGGAUGGGCAUGCGUGAUAUUAGGUAGUUGGCGGGG